CCUCCUUCCUUGCAGAUGGAGAAGUCGUAGCCCAGCGUACAGGCGGCGUCGGUGCAGUUCACCGUGUCGCUCACCGUGUCGUUGUGGUCACCAGUGGCAUCUCUCACUAUACAGGAACCUGAGACCAAGAGAAACAACAACAACCUGGCCUUUAAGAGUUUUCUUACCUUGGCUUCCCACUCCAUCCCAGCUACAGAGAUUCCCAGCAGCAGGAUGACGGUCAGCGUCCCGACGAUGCGAAUGUCAUUCAGCUCAUCGGUCAUCAGAGCGUCGACAUCCUGCAGCGAAGCAGCAGGAAAAUGUUUAAUUUCAGGCCUAAACUUCAUCAUCAGGCAGGUUUUAAAAUGUUUUAUAAAGUUCUUACACUGAGCAUCACAACGACCGUCUCAGCAAAACCCACGACGUACAUGGCCACCGCCACAGCGUUGGCGAAGGCAAAGAUGAGACCGAUGGAGCCUCCGAACUCUGGACCCAGACUUCUGGAGAUCAGUUUUCCUCCUGCUGGUCGGUUCCUCACCUCCGCGUACGAAGCCGUUGGUUGCUAUGGCGGAGGUCGACAGGCCGGUGAUGGUGGUGACCAGAGUGGCCAUGAGGAUGAUGGCGAUGGUGAGUCCUGGUUCACAAAAACACCUGAACCGUUAAAACCCUGAACAAAAAACGCUCCUUCACUUCACGUCCAACAUCUGAGAACAAAAACCAAACUGGAUGGGAGGUUUUCACCCACCGAUUCCAGCCUGACCAACGAUCCAGGACAUCCUGAUGAAGAGCAUCACUCCCCAGAUGUUCAGCAUGCAGCGCACCUGCAACACGUUUCUGCAGGUUAACACCACCUGACUGCCCUCAACACGCAGCGUAUCUGAGACUCCGUCUGUCAUCACCCACCAGGACGCCCUUCAUCCAGCCGAACUUCACCGCUCCUCCCUUCGCCUCCUUCGCCAUCAACGCCGCCGCCUCCUCGGCGGCUGACGGCUCCUCGCUGUUGACCAGGCCGUCCUCGAACGGCUCCUGGAGGGAGAAGGAAUGUCAGGAAAAAUAUCCAGAGGAUGAAUCGGCUGAAGGUUGUUUUCUGUGAACAUGUGAGCAGAACUCACUGGACCGGACCGAGUUCUGCGGCUUCUUGGUGCCGCCCUGCUGGUUCUGGUGCUGCUUCUUCACUUUGUGCUUCUGCUCCGGAGAAGACGAGUUCCCUUUUUGUUUCAGUGCAUCCAGGAAGUGAGGAAUGGGCAGGUCUGUUGGAAAAGGAUUUGGUUAAAAACUGAAACCCACAGUGAGUUUUUGUUCUUCUUUUAUUUUAAUCAGCAGAUUGGACUUUUAACGGUUCUGUGAUGACAGACGUUCCUCUGAAUUACUGAUGAAAAGUUAGCAGAUUUUUCCAUAGAGCAGAUUUAGACACAAUUCUGCUUCACACACUAUUGGCCAGCAUUUGCUUUAAAGCAGCCAAUCCCAGAGCAGCAUUUAUUUUCCUGGCCACUGAUUGGUUGAAUAGGAAAGACUGUGAAUGUUAGCUGCAUUAAUGCUAAGAUGGUACCUUAAGAUGCAUUUUAACGCAUUUUAAGGUACAUUUGGUGUUUGAACAUGGAAAUAUUCAGUAAUAACUGUUUUUAGACAGAAACUCAAAUACUUUUUAAAAAUACUGUUAUUGUUUCUUCUCAGUCAGAAAUGAUCCAAAAAGUUUUCAUUUAAAUUCUACUUUUAAAUUCUAAUAACUUGAGAAGAUUUCUGUCUGUUUCAUAUUUUUAUUCAAGUUCUUUAAUCACUUGUGGCGUUCCUCAGGGCUGCAUCCUGGGCCCACUGCUGUUCCUGAACAAUACCAUGGUUCUGUGCUACGUUUCCAGUAUUUAUUUAAUAUUUUCAAUAAAGUUUGGUGUAUCAAAUUCA